rnacentral:rRNA from 1 species
AGUUGGGGGCAUCAGUAUUCUGAAGCGAGAGGUGAAAUUCUUGGACCUUCGGAAGACUAACAACUGCGAAAGCAUUUGCCUAGGAUGUUCUCUUUAAUCAAGAACGAAAGUUGGGGGAUCGAAGACGAUCAGAUACCGUCGUAGUCUCAACUAUAAACUAUGCCAGCUAGGGAUUGGUGGACGUUUAUUUACGACUCCAUCAGCACCUUAUGAGAAAUCAAAGCAUUUGGGUUCCGGGGGGAGUAUGGUCGCAAGGCUGAAACUUAAAGGAAUUGACGGGAGGGCACCACCAGGAGUGGAGCCUGUGGCUUAAUUUGACUCAACACGGGAAAACUUACCAGGUCCGGACAUAGUAAGGAUUGACAGAUUGAUAGCUCUUUCUUGAUUCUAUGGGUGGUGGUGCA